rnacentral:rRNA from 1 species
GACAGAGGGUGCAAACGUUGUUCGGAAUUACUGGGCGUAAAGCGCGUGUAGGCGGCUUGGCAAGUCCGGGGUGAAAGCCCCCAGCUCAACUGGGGAAGUGCCUUGGAUACUGGUAAUCUUGAGGGAGGUAGGGGCAUGCGGAACUUCCGGUGGAGCGGUGAAAUGCGUAGAUAUCGGAAGGAACGCCGGUGGCGAAAGCGGCGUGCUGGACCUCUUCUGACGCUGAGGCGCGAAAGCCAGGGGAGCAAACGGG